CGGCGUCAAAAUAUUUUCUAGCCCGUCAGAAUCAAGCAGUUUUUACAUCUUCUCUUUUCAAUCGUGUCUCUCAAACCUCGGAGAAUUUAUCGAGUUCAGCUUGCGCUGUAACCAAAAAUGGUGUUCAGAUAUUUUAUCCUUCAUCGUAUAGGUAUUAAUGUGAUGGGGUUGGUACAGUAUAGCAUAAAAUAGCACUUCUGAUUGGUAUGCAAUAGCCCCUGCUUACCCAAGAGAUUUUAUUUAAAAAAAAUGAGCUCUUAUUGUCUGAAGAGCCUUGAAUCCGGUGAGCAUGCACGAUUGAAUUGUGUAGCUGGUGAAGCAGAAGAAGGUUGACUGCAAAGUGCCUCUUGUAUUUGAUUAAGUCAGAUGGUUCAUUUCGAGAAUCUCCAUGAAUAUCUUUGCAUUUUUCCAUAGUUUUGCGAAUUUUGUCCUCAAAAGUGAAUAAGAAAAAUUUGUAUUUGGAGUCCAAAAAAUGUUAAUUAGAUUUAUCAAUAGACCUAAACAAUUGGUGAAUCUAAUGAGCUUUAGAAACGGUUUGGAAUGGGGAAUGGAAUGUGGGCUCUAAAUCGACCAAGAAUGUUUCUAAACUCCAGUUCUUUAAAAGUUCUAAAUUAUACAUUGAAUUUGAAUAGAAAGUAAGCUUUGA